GGAGAGACGUAAGGUCGGCGGAGAAUGCGCGGGUCGAGUGCUGUAGUUCGAUAUUUGCGUGUGUGCGUUGCUUGCGGCCUUUGUGCCUUUUUAUUCUUUGCUUACCUUUAUGAUAUAAAGACCUUAUUUCUUACAAGGAGGAAAAGACCGCUGACUUCAGAAACAGCGGGAACUCCAGCUCGUCCCCGGUAAGACGGCCGUGGCCUGUCAGCUGGAACGGUCCUGCCGGAUGGAUUGCUCUUUGAGAGCGUACACUCCCGCGUGCGCGACACCAGGUGGCCCGUAGGUUCCAGGUGCCGAGCACGCUACCUCCUCAGUUUACCUAAGUGCCCUACCAGUAUCAUAUUCUGUGUAUGCUGUGAUGUGAACGAGGUUUGUAAACACAGGCCGGUCUAAUGGAGCCCAGUGAGACCGCCAGAGGAUUAGUGUCUGUCUUGUCCAACAGUACUCGACUUGCUGGUAGAGCCCUAAUGACUGAGGGCUGCCCACAAGGGAAAGGUAAUUCAAGAGGAAACGCUUGAGCAAUUACUGAUGUUGUAAACUGGGAUCAGAAGACAUACAUGGUAUCGUAUCCCAGGCAAGGCACAGUGGCUCACACCUGUAAUCCCAGCACUUUGGGAGGCUGAAGAAGGCAGAUCACUUGAGGUCAGGAGUUCGAGACCAGCCUGGCUUACAUGGUGAAACCCAUCUCUACUGAACAUACAAAAAUUAGCUGGACAUGGUGGUUAGCUGCACCUCUACUCCACGUGGUCCUCCCUUCAGGUCCCAGGCUGAUGGAGUAGCCUCUGUGUGUUUGGGAUGUUGUCAGUCAUAAUGGUGGACACAAAAGAGAUUAUGACAAACCGUGUAUUGUCUCCUACAAUUUCUGCUCACAGAAGUGGACAACAUCACUUCUUUCCACAUUUCAUUGACCAGAGCAAGUCAUGUGACCAAGCCUGAUUCAAAAUAGGCUGGAGCAAGGAGGAGCAGCAAACAUAAAUGACAAAAUUGGGGUCUGGACAUGUGCAAGGACUUUUCCGAAGUCAGCUGGAAAGGAGCUGCUUAGCUGAGAGGUUCUGGCUCCAAAGUCUCCUGUGAAGUUGCAGUCAAGAUGUCUGCUGGGACCCCAGUCAUUUGAAGCCCUGUCUGGGGCAGGAGAAUCUAGGUCCAAAAUGGCCGUUGCAGGAGUCCUUAUCCACACCAUGUGGGGCCUCUUCAUAGAUGUUCGAGUGUCCUCAUGGCAUGGCCACUGGCUUUCCCCAAACUUCAAAAUAUGCAUAUGGGCCAGGCGCGGUAGCUCAUGCCUGUAAUCCCAACACUUUGGAAGGUCGAGGUGGGCAGAUCAUUUGAGGCCAGGAGUUUGAGACCAGCCUGACCAACAUGGUGAAACUCCGUCUCUACUAAAAAAUACAAAAUAAUUAGCUGGGUGUCGUGGAGCAUACCUGUAAUCCCAGCUACUCCGGAGGCUGAGGCACGAGAAUCGUCUGAACCCAGGUGAUUCUGCACUCUACUUGGGCUCUGUCUCAAAACAACAACAACAGCAACAACAAAAACUGUGGUAUUUUUAAUGAACUAAAUAUUAAUAUACUAACACAGCAUAGGUUUUAUGAUUACUGCAAUUCAAAAGUCAUAAUAAAUUUUAAAACAAAUCCUCCUGUACCUGUUGUGGUGCAUGCAGAAACUUUUCCUGUUCAACACACUUAUAUGGCACUAUAUAGGGAUAUACCAAAUAGCUCAGGUACAUGGUGAAUACAACUUUAACAUUUAUAUUGAAAUGCUAAUCUUACUUGCCAAUAUUAGUGGCACAUUAGCAUAAUUUAACUUUUAUAAAAUUAUGGAAAACAGUUUAAAAUUAUUCUCCCUAAUAUUAGCAAAUUGCAUUAAUGGCAUGUACCGUGUGCCAGUUUGUUUCCAAAUAAACAAAAUGUACCUUGAUAUGCCACUUCAGAGCCAGCAGAGGGAGCUCAUACUUUUUUAUUGUUUUCAACUUACUGAAGAAAAUUUGCUUUUAAAAGCUACUGUGUUAUAACCAAUGAGAACCAAGAAAAA